rnacentral:rRNA from 1 species
AUGACUUCAAACCUGCCUAAAAUACUCGUGUGGAACGUGCGAGGACUCAAUUCGCCGGCUAGAAGGAAUGCGGUGUACCAAGUAGUUGUGGCUGCAAAUGUGAGCAUUGUAUGCCUCCAAGAAACCAAAAUGGAGUCCAUCUCCAUUAAUGUGGUUAGACAUUGCCUGGAUAAUAAAUUCGAGCAUUUUUACUAUGUGCCUGCGGUGGGCACACGCGGUGGUAUCUUGAUCGCUUGGGACAGCCUAGUGGUCUCACUCUCAAACAGGCACGUAACGGCGAACACGCUCACGGCUCUAGUCUCGCAGGAAGGGAAACCACAUUGGUGGCUAACCGGGGUGUAUGGCCCUCAGAGUGAUGUGGCCAAAGUAGAUUUCAUGACGGAGUUGAGGGAUAUACGGGAUCUUCACGUUGGGCCUUGGGUGCUGCUGGGAGAUUUUAACCUUUUAAUCUCCAUGGACGACAAGAACAAGCCUACCACGAACAGAAGGAUGAUGGCGAGGUUCCGCGCUCUGAUAAAUAGGCUUGAACUAAAGGAACAAUACCUGAAUGGAAGAAGAUACACUUGGAGUAACGAACAAAGAGACCUGACACUCGAGAAGAGCGACCAUGUGUUUGUCACCAACACAUGGGAAGACGUAUAUCCAAACAGCUUGCUCACUGCUCUGGGCUCAUCAGUGUCAGAUCAUUGCCCUCUUCUACUGGAUACGGAUGCUGAAUUCCAUCUAGGCAAGCGUGCUUCUGGCCCAAGGUGGAAGGGUUUUUGGACAUGGUCCAGGAGGCAUGGGACUCGAUUCAGUCGGUGGGGAAUCCGUUUACUGUGCGGGACAAUAAGCUACACGCCACUGCAAAGGCACUGCAAUCAUGGAGCGACAGGUGGAUUGGAAAAAACUCGCCUGCAAAUAGCCUUAGCCAUGGAGGUCAUUGCUAGACUAGAUGCCGCCUCGGAUAAGAGGCCGUUGGAGGAUCAGGAACACGGUCUUCGCAAGCUGCUCAUAAGGAAAUUGUUAGGGCUGUGCUCGCUGGAGAGGACCAUUGUGCGGCAGCGAUCGCGUUUUCUGCAGCUGAGGGAAGGAGAGGCCAACACAAAGUACUUCCAGCGACAUGCGAGGCACAGACAACGCAAGAACGUCAUCACGGCUAUCCAGGCCAACGGGGAAACACACACGGGUCAGGAGGAUAUAGCUAAGGCGGUUGAUGACUACUAUGGGCGGCUGUUCGGCUCGACGAGAGCAAGGGAGAUGACGAUCAACCUUGAUGUGCUGGAUUUGCCGACCCAUGAUCUAGAGCGGCUGGAGGUACAAUUCGAGGAGGAGGAAGUUUUCAACAUCAUUAAGUCAAUGCCUCUUGACAAGGCGCCAGGCCUGGACGGGUUUACCGGGCGUUUCUUUGCCACUUGCUGGCAUGUGAUCAAAGCCGAUUUCAUGAGGGCGCUGGACCACUUCCAUAGAGGGGAUAUUAGGGGAAUGGCUGCUAUCAACAAAGCCAUUGUCACAUUGCUACCUAAGAAGCCAGGAGCGGUGGAUAUAAAGGACUUCAGAUUCAAUCAAAGUAAUUAA